AAAUUGAAGAGUUUGAUCAUGGCUCAGAUUGAACGCUGGCGGCAGGCCUAACACAUGCAAGUCGAGCGGUAGCACAGAGAGCUUGCUCUCGGGUGACGAGCGGCGGACGGGUGAGUAAUGUCUGGGAAACUGCCUGAUGGAGGGGGAUAACUACUGGAAACGGUAGCUAAUACCGCAUAAUGUCGCAAGACCAAAGUGGGGGACCUUCGGGCCUCAUGCCAUCAGAUGUGCCCAGAUGGGAUUAGCUAGUAGGUGGGGUAACGGCUCACCUAGGCGACGAUCCCUAGCUGGUCUGAGAGGAUGACCAGCCACACUGGAACUGAGACACGGUCCAGACUCCUACGGGAGGCAGCAGUGGGGAAUAUUGCACAAUGGGCGCAAGCCUGAUGCAGCCAUGCCGCGUGUGUGAAGAAGGCCUUCGGGUUGUAAAGCACUUUCAGCGGGGAGGAAGGCGUUAAGGUUAAUAACCUUGGCGAUUGACGUUACCCGCAGAAGAAGCACCGGCUAACUCCGUGCCAGCAGCCGCGGUAAUACGGAGGGUGCAAGCGUUAAUCGGAAUUACUGGGCGUAAAGCGCACGCAGGCGGUCUGUCAAGUCGGAUGUGAAAUCCCCGGGCUCAACCUGGGAACUGCAUUCGAAACUGGCAGGCUAGAGUCUUGUAGAGGGGGGUAGAAUUCCAGGUGUAGCGGUGAAAUGCGUAGAGAUCUGGAGGAAUACCGGUGGCGAAGGCGGCCCCCUGGACAAAGACUGACGCUCAGGUGCGAAAGCGUGGGGAGCAAACAGGAUUAGAUACCCUGGUAGUCCACGCCGUAAACGAUGUCGAUUUGGAGGUUGUGCCCUUGAGGCGUGGCUUCCGGAGCUAACGCGUUAAAUCGACCGCCUGGGGAGUACGGCCGCAAGGUUAAAACUCAAAUGAAUUGACGGGGGCCCGCACAAGCGGUGGAGCAUGUGGUUUAAUUCGAUGCAACGCGAAGAACCUUACCUGGUCUUGACAUCCACAGAACUUUCCAGAGAUGGAUUGGUGCCUUCGGGAACUGUGAGACAGGUGCUGCAUGGCUGUCGUCAGCUCGUGUUGUGAAAUGUUGGGUUAAGUCCCGCAACGAGCGCAACCCUUAUCCUUUGUUGCCAGCGGUUCGGCCGGGAACUCAAAGGAGACUGCCAGUGAUAAACUGGAGGAAGGUGGGGAUGACGUCAAGUCAUCAUGGCCCCUUACGACCAGGGCUACACACGUGCUACAAUGGCAUAUACAAAGAGAAGCGACCUCGCGAGAGCAAGCGGACCUCAUAAAGUAUGUCGUAGUCCGGAUUGGAGUCUGCAACUCGACUCCAUGAAGUCGGAAUCGCUAGUAAUCGUAGAUCAGAAUGCUACGGUGAAUACGUUCCCGGGCCUUGUACACACCGCCCGUCACACCAUGGGAGUGGGUUGCAAAAGAAGUAGGUAGCUUAACCUUCGGGAGGGCGCUUACCACUUUGUGAUUCAUGACUGGGGUGAAGUCGUAACAAGGUAACCGUAGGGGAACCUGCGGUUGGAUCACCUCCUUACCUUAAAGAA
rnacentral:rRNA from 1 species